AGAGAUGGAGACUAACGUCUUCCAAGGGAGAUUGCGUCUCCACUUUCACCCUGGUACUGAGAGGAACGCAGUCGCGGGGUAUAUCCCCCUGAAAACCGUACGUUGCCAAAUAAUGAUUUCUUUGGAUUAGAGAACUACAACUCCCCUGGGUCCUGAGCCGGUAUUUCCCUUUUGCGGCUGCACCGUAGUUAAAAACAAAGCUAAGUGUUCUGGGACGUAUAGUUCUAGCGUUCCUUGGGUCCCGCUGGCGAGCGUGGGCUUUCUGCAGCUCGCAACCGGCCUCGUGCUUUGCGGACGGUUCACUGCGCUUGGAAAGGGAUUGGCCUGGGGUACAUCAUCUAAAGAUCCUAGGAUUGCUGCAGGUCAGCAGUCUCCACUGGAAAAAAAGAUCUUGAAUCUAGGUGGUGUGCAUACAACAGCAGCAAGACAGUUGAUAAUGCAGAAAUAUCAGGAGGAGUGUGAAAUACUCUGUAGGGAGCAAGCUGUUUCUCUUGACUACUGGCUUGCCAAAGCAGAGUCUUAUUAUAAUAAAAUAAUAGUGGAAAUGAUGAAAGAAGAGACAGGCAAUGAAAUCUAGAAAAAAAUGGAGGAGAAAACAACCCAGAGCGUAGAAGGACUAAAACAGUACUGUUUGGUACCUGAGAGAGAGAUGAAACACAUAGAAAGGCACAUACAUCAAACAGGAAAGGCUGGAGAAUUUAAGAACAAACCAUUUAGACAAGUACUACAACCCCCCAAUGAAACAAAAUUACCAAAAAUUAUGCCAGAAGGGCAUGGCAUCCAGAACGCACAGAGAAGAAAGCAGGUAAAUGAGAGGGAACAGAUGCAGACUAAGGAUCACCAGGAACGCAUGAUUCGAGGGAGAGAACUUGCAGAACAAAGACUCAAGGAGAGAAUCUUGAGAAGAAGCCAGAGCCAGCUACUUACAUAUGAGAAGCAUGAGAGAGUAAAAGAGAUAAAGGAGUUUGAAAGAGUUAUUGCGUAUCUUCUUUUCCAACCAUGCAGUAGAAGUCGGAUUAAAGUGAGUAUUCUUAUGGAUAAGUCUCAGAAUGGAGAGAAGGUGAAUACAAUUGUGAAACCAUAUCAAAGAAAAUUCUUGGCAAUG
rnacentral:lncRNA from 1 species